AGCCGCGGUAAUACGGAGGAUCCAAGCGUUAUCCGGAAUCAUUGGGUUUAAAGGGUCCGUAGGCGGGCCAGUAAGUCAGUGGUGAAAUCUCUCGGCUCAACCGGGAAAUGGCCAUUGAUACUGCUGGUCUUGAAUUAUUAGGAAGUAACUAGAAUAUGUAGUGUAGCGGUGAAAUGCUUAGAGAUUACAUGGAAUACCAAUUGCGAAGGCAGGUUACUACUAAUGGAUUGACGCUGAUGGACGAAAGCGUGGGUAGCGAACAGGAUUAGAUACCCUGGUAGUCCACGCCGUAAACGAUGGAUACUAGCUGUUGGGAGCAAUCUCAGUGGCUAAGCGAAAGUGAUAAGUAUCCCACCUGGGGAGUACGUUCGCAAGAAUGAAACUCAAAGGAAUUGACGGGGGCCCGCACAAGCGGUGGAGCAUGUGGUUUAAUUCGAUGAUACGCGAGGAACCUUACCAAGGCUUAAAUGUAGAUUGACCGGUUUGGAAACAGACUUUUCGCAAGACAAUUUACAAGGUGCUGCAUGGUUGUCGUCAGCUCGUGCCGUGAGGUGUCAGGUUAAGUCCUAUAACGAGCGCAACCCCUGUUGUUAGUUGCCAGCGAGUCAAGUCGGGAACUCUAACAAGACUGCCAGUGUAAACUGUGAGGAAGGUGGGGAUGACGUCAAAUCAUCACGGCCCUUACGCCUUGGGCUACACACGUGCUAC
rnacentral:rRNA from 1 species